rnacentral:rRNA from 1 species
UACGAAGGGGGCUAGCGUUGUUCGGAUUCACUGGGCGUAAAGGGUGCGUAGGUGGUUGCGCAAGUCUGAUGUGAAAUCUCCGGGCUCAACCCGGAAAUGGCAUUGGAAACUGCGUGGCUAGAGGGUUGGAGGGGGGACUGGAAUACUUGGUGUAGCAGUGAAAUGCGUAGAUAUCAAGUGGAACACCAGUGGCGAAGGCGGCUCACUGGUCCGGUACUGACGCUGAGGUGCGAAAGCGUGGGGAGCAAACAGG